GCAGAACGCGAAGAACCUUACCUACUCUUGACAUCCAGAGAACUUAGCAGAGAUGCUUUGGUGCCUUCGGGAACUCUGAGACAGGUGCUGCAUGGCUGUCGUCAGCUCGUGUUGUGAAAUGUUGGGUUAAGUCCCGCAACGAGCGCAACCCUUAUCCUUUGUUGCCAGCGGUUAGGCCGGGAACUCAAAGGAGACUGCCAGUGAUAAACUGGAGGAAGGUGGGGAUGACGUCAAGUCAUCAUGGCCCUUACGAGUAGGGCUACACACGUGCUACAAUGGCGCAUACAAAGAGAAGCGACCUCGCGAGAGCAAGCGGACCUCAUAAAGUGCGUCGUAGUCCGGAUUGGAGUCUGCAACUCGACUCCAUGAAGUCGGAAUCGCUAGUAAUCGUAGAUCAGAAUGCUACGGUGAAUACGUUCCCGGGUCUUGUACACACCG
rnacentral:rRNA from 1 species